GAUUUCUGCAUUUUCACAGAGUUAUUCCUUUGUAGUUGUGAUCCAGCAUGGAUGUGGUGUGGUUGUAUCAGUGACUGCAGGUAGUCUGUGGAGCAUUACACAGUUCUUUACGGAAAUAGCAGCUGCAAGUGACCAGGACCACUGACAGCAGAAGGCACCUCACUUACCAUGGUAAAAAGCAGUUUAGAAAAAUCUCAAAAACAAAAUAAAUGUUUAUUGGAGACUCAA
rnacentral:lncRNA from 1 species